rnacentral:rRNA from 1 species
AACGAACGCUGGCGGCAGGCUUAACACAUGCAAGUCGAGCGCCCCGCAAGGGGAGCGGCAGACGGGUGAGUAACGCGUGGGAACGUACCCUUUGCUACGGAAUAGCUCCGGGAAACUGGAAUUAAUACCGUAUGUGCCCUACGGGGGAAAGAUUUAUCGGCAAAGGAUCGGCCCGCGUUGGAUUAGCUAGUUGGUGGGGUAAUGGCCUACCAAGGCGACGAUCCAUAGCUGGUCUGAGAGGAUGACCAGCCACAUUGGGACUGAGACACGGCCCAAACUCCUACGGGAGGCAGCAGUGGGGAAUAUUGGACAAUGGGCGCAAGCCUGAUCCAGCCAUGCCGCGUGAGUGAUGAAGGCCUUAGGGUUGUAAAGCUCUUUCACCGGAGAAGAUAACGACGGUAUCCGGAGAAGAAGCCCCGGCUAACUUCGUGCCAGCCGCCGCCGUAAGAC